AAGGAAAUGGGAAGACACCUGCUCCACUGGUGCUCAAUGCAUUUUUAGAGUGGAAUGCAGUCAAAAACAGAGGACCAACAAGACUACCAGUAUCAAGGAGAUGUGAUAAAAAUUAACGACUCCCCAAGGGGGCGGCAAGCUCAAGAAGGGCGAACACAGGCCCAACACCCGUGGAACCGGCAAAUUGAAUCCGCAUUCGAGAAACUAUUUGUGAAGAGCACACGGCGAAGGGCAAAAGACAAAAAUAACUACAUAAAUUAUUUAUGCAAUAUCUGAGAAUGUGAACGCGGCCAAGUUGGAAGGGAGAAGGAAGCGAAGAUCCUGUGCUCCUUGUUGCCAUUUUUAUUUGCGCUCUAAAUGCUGCAACAUUUUGUUUACAGCCACUGAGGAGCAGAACGCUCGUUGUUGCCUGAACAAAUGCUAAUUUGCUGCAGAUAUGAGUGUGGCAACGUCAGCAUUUGGGGCAGAAAGGUCAUCAAAUAAUCAUAUUUGAUUUAUUUGUUCGAAUAUUGCAAGAAUAAUGCAAAAGUUCAAAUGUAUGUUGGCCCAUAUUUUACUGCUUUAUCAAUAAUUGUUAUGUUCCACUUACACGAACAUUAAAUUUAAAUGCAAAUCGAAAUAAUAA